GAUGAACGCUGGCGGCGUGCCUAAUACAUGCAAGUCGAGCGAAGCGGGGACGGGUGAGUAACACGUGGAUAACCUCCUAUAAGACUGGGAUAACUUCGGGAAACAGGAGCUAAACAUGAUAUUUAUUGAUGGCUCCGCGCUGCAUUGGCUAGUUGGUAAGGUAACGGCGUACCAAGGAAACGAUGCAUAGCCGACCUGAGAGGGUGAUCUGCCACACUGGAACUGAGACACGGGCCAGAAUCCUACGGGAGGCAGCAGGAGGUAAUCUUACGCAAUGGGCGAAAGCCUGACGGGGCAACGCCGCGUGAGUGAUGAAGUUCUUCGGAUCGUAAAACGCUGUUAUUAGGGAAGCGGUACCUAAUCAGAAAGCCACGGCUAAGUACGUGCCAGCAGCCGCGGUAAUAC
rnacentral:rRNA from 1 species